ensembl:lncRNA
CACAAGGCAGGGUUGUCCUGCCUGCAACAGACCGUCACUGUUGUUCCCAGAGGGGAGCAUAUGACCCCUGGAGCCUCCCAGCCGUGGGACCUGAAGAAGGUGGGAGAUGUGUGCACAGGUCUGGGACAGGUUAUCUGGGUGGAGCACGCAACAUUUACCACGGUCCACGCCGUGCAGUGCUCAGGUCCACUGCCUUCCCGCAUAAGCUCGCCCCACCUAGAUACCACUUCUCCAGGAUUCUGAUUGGUCACAAUUUCUGGAGAAGCUUGCAAGAGGAAGGAUAGAGGAGGAAAGUAGAUUUUUGCUGUGGCAGCUGGUCCCGAGGUUCGUCAUCACCCUCCUUUACCCCCUGUUCUAGAUCCGCCUCAUCCUUAGCUCAUACUUGCACUAGUGUAAGUGGUUUGCUUGGUGGGGUGACUCAGACCCACAUCACUAAGGGGUCUGGGCUCCACCUUACUGUGCCUUCUCAGUCAGUGGUGACUGUAUUUACCGUUUACAGUUAAAGUUGGGAGUGUGGGAAUGACAGGAUGCCUCAGUAGAUCGCUUGAAUGCCAGAUAGAUCCCUCACGCCCCCACAUUGUGUCAGGCUUGCCUCCCCAUAGUGAUCAGGGUCAACGACGUCUGGCGCUCCUUUGUGCCUGCAGUGACCAGGUGCAGCCGUAAGUUUAGUGGGAAUCUUGAUGCGCCCCCUGCCGGAAACAUCCUCCUGUGUGAACCAGGGCUUCUAGACUCACGCGGCCAAAGUUGUGAGGAUGGGAAGCACAGAGUCCCCAGUGGGUCCCGGUAAUGAUGGAGCCGUGCCACUCCCACGCCUACCCAUUGGCUCCCCAGCCCUUGUGGUCCACCUGGUUGGGCCAUGGUACCAGGAAAUGGCUUUUGAUCUGCCCCUGGAAGGACAGCACCCUCCUCACAGGGUGUCUUCCUCCCAUCUGGCAUGUCAGCGUGCCUUCAGAUGUCCUUCCUGCAGCCCUGGAGAGCUGGCAGCUCUGCGUGAGGAGGUUUGUGGCCAGACCAGUGGGUCCUGUGUUCAUGUGUCCUUCACCACUGUGUUUGCCAUGGGGGCUCACUCAGUGCAGGGCGUGUUUUUCAGGGUCCUGUGUCAGGAAAUCAGACAAUCUGGGAGCCUUUGCAUAGUGGUGGUGGCUGAGGCACUGUGUGGGAAGGCGAACCCAUACCCAAAUCAUGUGUCAAUCCUGAUCAUUAUGAAUCGUUGACCUUUUCAGGGUAGAAGGAUCUGACGGAAUCAUCUGCUGCUGGGUAGCUGGUGUCUUUCCUCAAGGGAUGGCACCGCAUCAGAGGGCCAGUUUGGGAUUCCAUUGCUGGAAGGAGCUGGACAUGGAAAUUGAACUACAGUUACUGCUGGGAAUCUCGUCGCAUAAUAAAAGAAAGAGCAAAUUUGAAGUGGGUUAAGACUAGGAAUAAAAUGCAGGCUGUCUAGUUCAAUCUGAAUUUCAGAUGAGUUUAUCAUCAAGGAGAGUGAAACUUUGCUCUCGGUAGAUGGCCAUCACCAGACCCUGAAGAUGAACAGGAAGAAAAACAUAACUGCUUAAGAAACAUGUGAGAUGAGGCAGACAUGGAAGAGGCUGAAGUCCGUGUAAAGGCUCCGUCGUCAUUUAAGUUGCUCGUCACUUAUACAGCAGCUCGAUGGGCUGGGUUACCUGUGUCUGUGUCCUAAAUCAGGCUAAAAACUCGAGAAUCAGAAAGUUCUGAGGUUUCUUUGAACUCUAAAAAUUUCUUCUUAAGUAGCCGCAGGAAAGUCACCUCAGCGUGUCCGGCAUUUCACUUCCCAGGCCACAAAGGGUUUGAGGAAGUUAGGAAGGAAAAGACACUUUAUUCAAGCCCCCUGGGGUAGACAGUUGAUGUAUUUUUGGCUGCCCGACUCCCUAGAACACUCUUCCUAUUUUGGGAAAUUCUCCAUCUUUUGAGUCCUGUCCUUCCUACCACAGAAGCCAGAAACUCUUUCCUGCCUCCCGUCAGCCAGGCCCCCGCGUGGGAUAGAGGACCCCCGUCAGACACUUGUGUGACACCUCCGUUCAGAGGCUGGUGCCACACAGGUUCACUCUGGGACAGCGACUGCACAGAUUCCGGAGGCAGUGGGCCGAGGGUCAGCUGUAGGCUGCAGCUGGCUUUCUGGGGCGGCUGUGGCUGUGGCAUUGCCUCCAUCUGGUGACUCCACAGGAUCAUCCUGUGGCAGGGUUUGCAGUUGCUCAGGCUGUGUAUCUGGUCCUGGAGAGUCCGUGUGCUACCAAAACCAUUCGCCACAUUUCCUUAAUGCUUAAACCAGCCAGUUUGCAACUGACAACUAACUGACACCGUCUUUACAUGCAAAGCCACGAAGGAGGGAAUUUAAAAAUGAAUGGGAUCUCGUCCUCAAGGAGUCUAUGUAACACCGUGGAGAGAAGGAAAGUAAAUGACCACAAUAGCCAGCGGCCUCCGAGGGGCAGAAGAGUGCUGUAGGAAGAGCAGACCCUCCGAGCCGUCCUGCCGGGGCUUCCAAUCCUGGCCCCACUGCUGUUAACUUCGUUUCCUUGGACUAGUUGCUUAACCUCUCUGUGCCUCAGUUUUUAAUCUGUAAAAUGGGGAUAAUAAUAUGAUUACCUUAUAGGGUUUUAUGGUGGAGAGUCCUCAUUGCCUCCCCACCUGCGUUCUCUCCUUUCUGGGCACACGGCUGAGCAGUUCGAAAUUGUAUUUCACCCUCCGUUAGAAGGAACUCUGUGCAACCAUGUGACUAAGGUUAACAGCAGAGUGAGAGCACAAGCCAUGUGUACAGCCCUGGCUCUACUUGGUUAGGAGGAACUUCCUUAUCCUGGAUGAACUCUUUCUUCCCUUUCCUCCCGGCUGUUUGGAGGUGGUGUUCACAGGUGGUGAACCAUGAUGGGGAAGCUCAGCAUUGGGGAUGGCAGAGCAUCCUGCUCGCCUGGGGCAUGUUGACUGUAGAAUGGAGUCCCGUCUACCGUCGCGGCCUUGUCAUGAAAGAAACCACUGUCUGUGUUCCCCGUGGCCCAGAUUAAGCAGUUGACCCAUGGCUACACUCCAAGUGCCAGAAGUGGGAUGUAAACCCAGGGAGAUAAGGAACAAAUGACGCACAGGGAAGACCAGCGGCGACAGAGGAUGAGAAGCAGCAGUCACAGCAGGGAACUGCAGACCCAGAACAAAGACCCUCCACCUUUGCCUCGAUGGUAGGUGACACUUAGGACGUAUUUAUUGUAUGAACGGAUAACAAGACCAGUUCUUCAAAUUACAAGCUCCAAUAUCCCAGGAAAAUUUGCCUCGGCACUGGAUUUGGGGUUAAGUAGCGUCUAUAGUCCCUCUCUGAUGGCACGUAUUUCUUCAGCACAUUCAGAAUCCACUUAUGUUUCUACUGCUAUCGGGUGCUCCACACCCCGAGUUAGCAGAUGCGACUGCUGCUCUGAUGGUCGUUGUCUAAGAUCUCACCUCCAAGCUUUCUGGACAAUUAUUCUACGUCUUUCUCUCCUUUUCUCAUGGAGAAAGAAGAGGCAGGACAUGGGAAAGGCUUAAGAUUUCUGCUUGGAAAGCCCCAGGUUGAAUGACUGUAAUUUACACAGAGUUCCAUGUCUGGCGGUGGACGACGUGAAGUGGAGUGUCGGCUGAGGUGACACGAGCCCCCGCAGACGACACGUUGAAUACUGUUCUGAAGACUACACCAUGGGCUAUGGCACUAGCCAGACUUCCCCCUAGCGUGCAUCGGGACCACCUGCACGGCUUGUUGGAACACAGAUCGCCCCACUCCCAAAGUUUCAGAGAGUCCUUCCUGACUUCCUGGUGAGCCCACAGCGUGGGAAGAACCCCACAUCCACAUGGCACAUUGGAAGCACGUGGCCCAGCAGUCAGAAGAUUCACUGCUCCGCCAACUCGCUGGGUGUCCUCCGCAGGUCUCUGCCUCAGAGUCCACACGUGUAAAAUCCCAGAGUGGAAUCAGGUAAUCCCUAUCACUCCAUCCAUGUUCAAUACUCCUUAAACAUUCACUUAAUGGGCCUAUCUCCUGCCCAGGGCCAUAACUUUUGUUGUACACUUCAGUGCUGUAUAGACACAAAGGAAUACCACUAGUAACGGUCUAGGAUGUUGCUGCCUUUAUACCAUAGAGAACACUCAAUAUUAUAUAGGAACGUGGUUGGUUCUGUGACUCUCCACUCUCCAGUCAGAUACUUACUGCUGUCUGUGUGUUUGUCAAUUAGUUUGACUUCUGAGUAUUAAGAAGUAUCUUAUAGCCGUGUGAACCUGCUCAGGGAGCUUCUAAUGUGAACCCAAGGUGAAGUGCCAUUCACUUGUUGGGUGUUAAGGUCUCACAUUUAAAUUUUCCUUCUGUGUUCGCUGCGUUUCCAUCUGGCUCAAUCUUCAUUAAACAGGCUGUAUUAAGUGUUUCUCUGCACCUGGCCCUGUGCUAGGAGCUGAAUUACAAAGACGUGGUUUUUGAUGUCGAGGAAUGUCUGAC